UACGUAGGGUGCAAGCGUUGUCCGGAAUUAUUGGGCGUAAAGAGCUCGUAGGCGGUCUGUCGCGUCUGCUGUGAAAACUCAGGGCUUAACCCUGGACAGGCGGUGGAAACUACCAAGCUGGAGUACGGUAGGGGCAGGGGGAAUUUCCGGUGGAGCGGUGAAAUGCGUAGAGAUCGGAAAGAACACCAACGGCGAAAGCACUCUGCUGGGCCGACACUGACACUGAGAGACGAAAGCUAGGGGAGCGAAUGGG
rnacentral:rRNA from 1 species